rnacentral:rRNA from 1 species
GGGGAAUUUUGGACAAUGGGCGCAAGCCUGAUCCAGCCAUGCCGCGUGUCUGAAGAAGGCCUUCGGGUUGUAAAGGACUUUUGUCAGGGAAGAAAAGGCUGUUGCUAAUACCGACAGCUGAUGACGGUACCUGAAGAAUAAGCACCGGCUAACUACGUGCCAGCAGCCGCGGUAAUACGUAGGGUGCGAGCGUUAAUCGGAAUUACUGGGCGUAAAGCGAGCGCGGACGGUUACUUAAGCAGGAUGUGAAAUCCCCGGGCUCAACCUGGGAACUGCGUUCUGAACUGGGUGACUAGAGUGUGUCAGAGGGAGGUAGAAUUCCACGUGUAGCAGUGAAAUGCGUAGAGAUGUGGAGGAAUACCGAUGGCGAAGGCAGCCUCCUGGGAUAACACUGACGUUCAUGCUCGAAAGCGUGGGUAGCAAACAGGAUUAGAUACCCUGGUAGUCCACGCCCUAAACGAUGUCAAUUAGCUGUUGGGCAACUUGAUUGCUUAGUAGCGUAGCUAACGCGUGAAAUUGACCGCCUGGGGAGUACGGUCGCAAGAUUA